rnacentral:lncRNA from 1 species
AGAGCAUGCCAAUAACGAUGGAAGAGCAGCUGCACCUGGUUCAUGCAGUAAACAUCUGUUAGCUUAUCGGAAUGCAUUCCUCUUACUGGUUUUGCUUCGGGGCCUCCUCUCACAUUGGAUAGUCAAUGGGUGGUGGUGUGGUUGUCAAUGAACGUGCAUUAUUAUCGGUCAGAACCCCAAAAGGAAAUCAGUGGCACAUUCAAACUGGAUACAUCCAGAAGCUGGAAACUAGUUCAGCCCUUUGAUGUCAUCCUCUAAGGAGACAGAGCAGAAUGGAGAAAACAGGUAAGUAAACCUGAAGGCUAUGUCUAGCACAGCCCCUGGGGCUCAGGAACCACAAUUCACAGCAAAGCUGAGAAUUCAACGUCUCUUCCUGGAGUUCAGCUUCCGAGCUCUUGGUACAGGCAUACUUCAUUUUAUGGCGCUUUGUAGAUAUUGAGUUUUGCUUUGCUUUGUUCUUUAGCGACAGGGUCUCACUCUUUCUCCUAAGCUGGAGUGCAGUGGCACAGUCAGAGCUCACUAUAACCUCAAAUUCCUGGGCUCAAACGAUCCUCCAGCCUCAGUCUCCCAAGGAGCUAGUGUUAGGUUUUGCAGGGAAGGUAAGGGACACCCACACAGAGAGGGCAGCUCGACAGCAAAUGCAGGCUUAUGUCCAGCAUAAAACCUACAGAAGUGGGGAACCAUCCUAAUGCCAGUGCCCACAACUGCUUAUAUGCUGGGGGUACUUAUAGCUAUGGGCGGGAGGGGUCUGAGCAGCGUGGCUUGCUGCCUGGCAGGAUAUUGAAAAGAUGUUCCCGUGAUGAGGUGGUUCUGGCCCUUGUUCCGGUGGGCUGUCAUCGUGAUGUUCCUUGGAUCUUUGCCCACCAAGAUAUGAUAGGGAUGUUUCUUUAAUACGGCCUUUGUCCGCCUUGUGGUCAGGUGGUUAGGCAGAAUGUUUCUCAUGGCCCAAACCCCUGUAAAAUGUUUUGCUUUAACCAAAG